rnacentral:rRNA from 1 species
UUAUGGAGAGUUUGAUCCUGGCUCAGGAUGAAUGCUGGCGGCGUGCCUAAUACAUGCAAGUCGAGCGGAAACAUGGAUAGCUUGCUAUCUGAUGUCGAGCGGCGGACGGCUGAGUAACGCGUGGGAACAGACCCCAAACUGAGGGAUAACUAGUCGAAAGAUUAGCUAAUACCGCAUGUGAUCUUCGGAUUAAAGUCUUCGGACGGUUUGGGACUGGCCUGCGUACGAUUAGAUAGUUGGUGAGGUAACGGCUCACCAAGUCGACGAUCGUUAGAUGGUUUGAGAGGAUGAUCAUCCAGACUGGGACUGAGACACGGCCCAGACUCCUACGGGAGGCAGCAGUAGGGAAUCUUUCACAAUGGGCGAAAGCCUGAUGGAGCAACGCCGCGUGCAGGAUGAAGGCCUUCGGGUCGUAAACUGCUUUUAUAAGCGAGAAAUAUGAUGGUAACUUAUGAAUAAGGAUCGGCUAACUACGUGCCAGCAGCCGCGGUCAUACGUAGGAUCCGAGCAUUAUCCGGAGUGACUGGGUGUAAAGAGUUGCGUAGGUGGAUAUUUAAGUAGCUAGUGAAAUUUGGUGGCUCAACCAUUCAAACUGUUAGCUAAACUGGAUAUCUCGAGAGCGUCAAGGGUAACUGGAAUUUCUAGUGUAGGAGUGAAAUCCGUAGAUAUUAGAAGGAACACCGAUAGCAUAGGCAGGUUACUGGGGCGUUUCUGACACUAAGGCACGAAAGCGUAGGGAGCAAACGGGAUUAGAUACCCCGGUAGUCUACGC